rnacentral:rRNA from 1 species
AGCUCAGGAUGAACGCUCGCUGUGUGCCUAAUACAUGCAUGUUGAACGGGAUGUAGCAAUACAUUCAGUAGCGAAUGGGUGAGUAACACGUACCUAACCUACCUUUAAGACUGGGAUAACUAUUGGAAACAAUAGCUAAUACCGGAUAUAGUUAUUUAUCGCAUGAUGAGUAAUAGAAAGGAGCUUCACAGCUUCACUUAAAAAUGGGGGUGCGGAACAUUAGUUAGUUGGUAGGGUAAUGGCCUACCAAGACGAUGAUGUUUAGCCGGGCCGAGAGGCUGUACGGCCACACUGGGACUGAGAUACGGCCCAGACUCCUACGGGAGGCAGCAGUUAAGAAUCUUGCGCAAUGGGCGAAAGCCUGACGCAGCCACGCCGCGUGAGGGAUGAAGGCCUUCGGGUUGUAAACCUAACUAAGACGGGAAGAAUAAGCAGACACUCUCUGUGAUGACGGUACCGUCCUACAGCCCCGGCUAAUUACGUGCCAGCAGCCGCGGUAAUACGUAAGGGGCAAGCGUUGUUCGGAUUUAUUGGGCGUAAAGGGCUCGUAGGCUGGCUUUUAAGUUGGAUGUAUAAUAUUCAGGCUCAACCUGAAACCUGCAUUCAAAACUGAAAGCCUUGAGACUUGAAGGGGAGAGCGGAAUACCUGGUGUAGCGGUGGAAUGCGUAGAUAUCAGGUAGAACACCAGUGGCGAAGGCGGCUCUCUGGUCAAGUACUGACGCUGAUGAGCGAAAGCGUGGGGAGCGAACAGGAUUAGAUACCCUGGUAGUCCACGCCGUAAACGUUGUGCACUAGGUGUCGGAGGUUUCAACGCCUUCGGUGCCGCAGUUAACGCAUUAAGUGCACCGCCUGGGGAGUAUGCCCGCAAGGGUGAAACUCAAAGGAAUUGACGG